UGUCUCUGGAGCUGUGGAUCAGAAAGGGCAAAGUAUAUUAAAUGGACAAGUAGAAGGAGCAGAUAAGAAUGCUGAGGAAGAUUCUAGAGCCAGGCUUUCUGACAAACCUGGUCCUGACGAUUCAUGGUCUACCUCAUCUAGCGAAGACUUAGAUUUUGGUACCAAGG